CUAAGUUUGAUGGCGACCGGCGCACGGGUGAGUAACACGUAUCCAACCUGCCGAUGACUCGGGGAUAGCCUUUCGAAAGAAAGAUUAAUACCCGAUGGCAUAGUUCUUCCGCAUGGUAGAACUAUUAAAGAAUUUCGGUCAUCGAUGGGGAUGCGUUCCAUUAGGUUGUUGGCGGGGUAACGGCCCACCAAGCCUUCGAUGGAUAGGGGUUCUGAGAAGAAGGUCCCCCACAUUGGAACUGAGACACGGUCCAAACUCCUACGGGAGGCAGCAUG
rnacentral:rRNA from 1 species